UGGGGAAUAUUGCACAAUGGGCGAAAGCCUGAUGCAGCGACGCCGCGUGAGGGAUGACGGCCUUCGGGUUGUAAACCUCUUUCAGCAGGGACGAAGCGCAAGUGACGGUACCUGCAGAAGAAGCAACGGCUAACUACGUGCCAGCAGCCGCGGUAAUACGUAGGGUGCAAGCGUUGUCCGGAAUUACUGGGCGUAAAGAGUUCGUAGGCGGUUUGUCGCGUCGUUUGUGAAAACCAGCAGCUCAACUGCUGGCUUGCAGGCGAUACGGGCAGACUUGAGUACUGCAGGGGAGACUGGAAUUCCUGGUGUAGCGGUGAAAUGCGCAGAUAUCAGGAGGAACACCGGUGGCGAAGUCGGGUCUCUGGGCAGUAACUGACGCUGAGGAACGAAAGCGUGGGUAGCGAACAGG
rnacentral:rRNA from 1 species